AGGGGUGAAAGGUAGUUAAUGAUCAAGCUUUAAUUACUAAAAACAUCGGACUAACGGUUGAAGGAACAGGUGGCACUAGCCACCAUAAAUUUUGAGAUUAAAGUU
rnacentral:sRNA from 1 species